rnacentral:tRNA from 1 species
GCGUCGGUGGCAGAGUGGUCAAAUGCAAUUGGCUGUAAACCAAUCGGUCUUGUACCUACGGGGGUUCAAAUCCCUCCCGGCGCACCA